rnacentral:misc_RNA from 1 species
CAGCGACGUCUACGCUGGCGUUGUGAAUUAAGCGCUGGGAAUUUGGGGCUGUGCUACGCUCCAUUCGUCUUCAGUCUUGAUAAUACGACCGAGCGCGGCGUCCGGCCAGUCAGCAGUCACUAGCACCAGUUGUCGCCGUUGUCCGCGUCCACAGAGGCAGGGGCAGAGCAGACCAUAUAUUCCACAAUCCAAUGUCUACGUCCACGUCCACCUCGCCUUCUUCGCUUCUUUACUCGAUUUAAGUCUUACAGUUAUUCUUGUUCGCUCUUUAAUAACGGUUGUUUGCGUGUUGCGUGUGCGAAAGGGAGGAAGCGAUUAUUUAAUUUAAGUACUGGCCGUACCGCGUGUGAGAACGAACAGCCGCCGUGUGUGUGGGUGUAUGUGUGUGGAACCGCAUCGAAAUUCCAGAUAUUAUACAUUAUACAAUAAGCCUCAGUGAAGUGAAGUUUUCAGUUGUUUAUUGGCACCAUAACCAGUACCAGAAACAAAGGUCAACUCAAGCCCGAUAUCCGAUAGCCGGAGUGGAGCGAUUGCCUGGACUCUCACUCUCUCUAACCGAUUUCCCCGAUCCAAGUUCAACGGUGCAUUCGCUCUCGCAUUAUCUCUUCUAAAGUUCUUCCCGCUCUCUCUCUCGCGCUUUCGCUGUCGCCUCUCUUUGGAUCUGUUAUCAGUAGUGCAGUAGCAACAGAAACUACAUAGAAAAUGGGUUGCACCGGCGGCUAUUUGUCGGAGGCUCAUUUGCGGGGCUUCGAGCGUUACAAGUACAACUGCAUAGACACUGGUUUCGUCAGUGUCUAUAUAAUGCACCCAUUCUGGAACUAUUGUGUUAAGUUCCUGCCCAGAUGGCUGGCCCCCAAUCUGCUCACAUUUGUGGGCUUCCUCAUGACGGUAGUGAACUUUAUACUGAUCUCCUACUACGACUGGGACUUCAAGGCCGCCAACGACAAGGAGAUCGGCAAUACAGUGCCCGCCUGGGUGUGGACUGUGGCGGCCAUUAACAUAUUGAUCUACUACAAUUUGGAUGGCAUGGAUGGCAAGCAGGCGCGUCGCACUGGCACGAGUGGACCGCUGGGAGAGCUGUUCGAUCACGGACUGGACUCCUAUUCCGCAGCACUGAUACCCAUAUAUAUCUUCUCCCUGUUCGGCACCCAAGACCUGCCGCCUAUUCGAAUGUUCUUCGUGAUAUGGAACGUUUUCCUUAAUUUCUACCUUACUCAUGUGGAAAAGUACAAUACGGGUGUGAUGUUUCUGCCAUGGGGCUAUGACUUCACCAUGUGGGGCGUGAGUGGAAUUCUCUUUCUGGCCACUGUUUUGGGACCGGGAAUCUAUCGUUUCAGCAUGUACGGCAUUACGAUUGCCAAUGUGUUUGAGUUUACGCUGAUUGGAUCUGGCAUGGUUUCAAGUCAUCCUAUUAUAGCCAGAAACAUCUAUCUUUCCUACAAGAAUAAGACGGGCAAGAUGCGUCCCAUGUGGGAGAUGCUGCGUCCCUUCUUUGCCUUCGUCUGGCUGUUUGUGAUCACCGUGAUCUGGUCGUUCUUCUCGCGGAACGAUGUGAUCAACCUAGAGCCGCGCAUUCUAUGGAUACUCUAUGGCACCAUAUUCUCCAACAUAGCCUGCCGUUUGAUUGUGGCCCAAAUGUCGGAUACCCGUUGCGAUGGCUUCAAUGUGCUCAUGUGGCCCCUGGCGGCCACUGUGGGGGUCUGCUGUUUCCCCUACUACGAGCAGGUCUUCGGAAUGGAUCUCACAGCGGACGGAGAGCGUUGGAUAGUCCAGGGUCUGACCAUAUUCUCUACCUUAGCGCACUGGCACUACGGCUAUAGUGUGGUCUCUGAAAUGUGCAAUCACUUCCAUAUCAGAUGCUUCAAAGUAAGACAAACUCGCAGCCAAACGGCAGAUCCACAAUCACAACAAUCCCUGCAGAAUAAUAACAAAAUCAAGGGCCAUUGAAACUAAUUCGCUCACUAACACCCCCGCCCCCAAAGAAACAUCAUCAACGACAAGGCCACAAACAAAUCAACCAACCAUCUUGUGAUAUAUAUAUAUAUAUUUAUAUGGGGAUCGAUCCGAAAAAACAAAAAAACAUUUAACUUUAUACCUCGCCAUCGCCAUCGCCCUCGUUUCGGCCAAGUCCGAGUCUAGGUCCAAGUGGUCCAUACUCAAUUCUAAACACUUAACCGAUAUUCUUUCUCCUUCUACUCAUGCGGUGUGCAUAUAACGUGAUCAAAAAACAACCGACUGUCGCCGCGGAACAGGAACUGCAGGAGGAGUCCAAAGCCAUUGAGCCCACGGAAACGGAAAACGUAAACAUUGAA